UUUGACAUCCAGAGAACUUGGCAGAGAUGCCUUGGUGCCUUCGGGACCUCUGAGACAGGUGCUGCAUGGCUGUCGUCAGCUCGUGUUGUGAAAUGUUGGUUAAGUCCGCAACGAGCGCAACCCCUAUCCUUUGUUGCCAGCGAUUCGGUCGGGAACUCAAAGGAGACUGCCGGUGAUAAACCGGAGGAAGGUGGGGAUGACGUCAAGUCAUCAUGGCCCUUACGAGUAGGGCUACACACGUGCUACAAUGGCGCAUACAAAGAGAAGCGACCUCGCGAGAGCAAGCGGACCUCAUAAAGUGCGUCGUAGUCCGGAUCGGGGUCUGCAACUCGACUCCGUGAAGUCGGAAUCGCUAGUAAUCGUAGAUCAGAAUGCUACGGUCGAAUACGUUCCCGGGCCUUGUACACACCGCCCGUCACACCAUGGGAGUGGGUUGCAAAAGAAGUAGAUAGCUUAACCUUCGGGAGGGCGUUUACCACUUUGUGAUUCAUGACUGGGGUGAAGUCGUAACAAGGUAAGCGUAGCGAG
rnacentral:rRNA from 1 species